CGCACCUUGCACUCUCUGGUAUUCCGGAGAGUAUGCCUGUUCGAGUGUCGUGAAGUUCUCAAGGUGCUACUUUGUUGUAGUCGCCUUGGAGUUGGAGCCUGUCGGCGAAAGUCGACUGCUCUGAAAUGCAUUAGCCAUUGCGAAAUCGGCUCGAGUGUAAUAAAUCUUUAUUCACGACGGUUGACGACUGCAGAGGCUUAUAGAACCCAACUACAUUUUCACCUUUGACCUCGAAUCAGGUAGGAUUACCCGCUGAACUUAA
rnacentral:misc_RNA from 1 species